rnacentral:rRNA from 1 species
CGCUGAAAGAGGAGCUUGCUCUUCUUGGAUGAGUUGCGAACGGGUGAGUAACGCGUAGGUAACCUGCCUUGUAGCGGGGGAUAACUAUUGGAAACGAUAGCUAAUACCGCAUAACAAUGGGUGACUCAUGUCAUUUAUUUGAAAGGGGCAAAUGCUCCACUACAAGAUGGACCUGCGUUGUAUUAGCUAGUAGGUGAGGUAACGGCUCACCUAGGCGACGAUACAUAACCGACCUGAGAGGGUGAUCAGCCACACUGGGACUGAGACACGGCCCAGACUCCUACGGGAGGCAGCAGUAGGGAAUCUUCGGCAAUGGGGGCAACCCUGACCGAGCAACGCCGCGUGAGUGAAGAAGGUUUUCGGAUCGUAAAACUCUGUUGUAAGUCAAGAACGAGUGUGAGAGUGGAAAGUUCACACUGUGACGGUAGCUUACCAGAAAGGGACGGCUAACUACGUGCCAGCAGCCGCGGUAAUACGUAGGUCCCGAGCGUUGUCCGGAUUUAUUGGGCGUAAAGCGAGCGCAGGCGGUUUGAUAAGUCUGAAGUUAAAGGCUGUGGCUCAACCAUAGUUCGCUUUGGAAACUGUCAAACUUGAGUGCAGAAGGGGAGAGUGGAAUUCCAUGUGUAGCGGUGAAAUGUGUAGAUAUAUGGAGGAACACCGGUGGCGAAAGCGGCUCUCUGGUCUGUAACUGACGCUG